CGGAAAGGACGCAGGGACUCUGUCGGGCGCUGCGGCUCUCGCCCGCUCGGCGGCGGUGGAGGCGAGAGCCUCUGCUUCUGGGCGAGAAGUGACCCGGUGCCCGGGAAUCCGGAUCUCGGCGCGGAGGGUGGGCACGAUGCGGCUGGGCUCCGGGACCUUCGCUGCCGGCUGCGUCGUGAUCGAGGUGCUCGGCGUCGCGCUCUUCCUCCGGGGCUUCUUCCCGGCUCCCGUCUUUUCCGGAGCGGAGCGGCAAGCAGAGUCCCCGGCGCCCGAACCCUCUGCUGGAGCCACUUCCAACUGGACCGAGCUUCCACCACCUCUCUUCAGUAAAGUUGUUAUUAUGCUGAUAGAUGCCUUGAGAGAUGAUUUUGUGUUUGGAUCAAAGGGUGUGAAAUUUAUGCCCUACACAACUUAUCUUGUGGAAAAAGGAUCAUCUCUGAGUUUUGUGGCUGAAGCAAAGCCACCUACAGUUACUAUGCCUCGAAUCAAGGCGUUGCUGACAGGGAGCCUCCCUGGCUUCAUCGAUGUCGUCAGGAACCUCAAUUCCCCUACGUUGCUGGAAGACAAUGUGAUCACACGAGCCAAAGCUGCUGGGAAAAGAAUCAUCUUUUAUGGAGAUGAAACAUGGGUGAAAUUAUUUCCAAAGCACUUUGUGGAAUACGAUGGAACAACCUCUUUUUUUGUAUCAGAUUAUACAGAGGUGGAUAAUAAUGUCACAAGGCAUUUGGAUAAAGUACUAAAAAGGCAGGAUUGGGAUGUGUUAAUCCUGCACUACCUCGGGCUGGACCACAUCGGCCACAUUUCUGGCCCCAGCAGCCCCCUGAUUGGGCCCAAGCUCAGUGAGAUGGACAGCAUCCUGAUGAAGAUCCACACCUCACUGCUGUCAGAGGAGAGAGAGGCUCUGCUGCCCAGUCUGCUGGCCCUCUGUGGUGAUCAUGGCAUGUCUGAAGCUGGGGGCCAUGGAGCCUCUUCCAUGGAGGAAGUAAAUACUGCCCUGGUCCUAAUUAGCUCUGCAUUUGAACGGAAACCUGGUGAUGUCAGACAUCCAACGCACGUUCAACAGACUGACCUGGCUGCAACACUCUCAAUAGGCCUGGGUCUGCCGAUUCCGAAGAGCAACACUGGCAGUCUUAUGUUCCGAGUUGUAGAACGAAGACCAAUGCGGGAACAGCUGAGGUUUCUACAUUUAAAUACAGUACAGCUUAGCAAGUUGUUGCAGGAGAACGUUCCAUCGUAUACAAAAGAGCCUGGAUUUGAGCAGUUUAAAGUGUCGGAAAGACUGCACAGGAACUGGGUCAGGUUGCACUUGGAGGAAAAUAACUCAGAAGAAGCCCUUUUCAACCUGGGGGCCAAGGUUCGCAGGCAGUACUUGGACGCACUGAGGAUGCUGAGGCUGUCGCUGACCAGACGAGCGGCCCAGUACGACGUCUACUCCAUGGCGGUGGGGACCGUCCUGGUCCUGGAGGCCCUCGCCCUGCUCCUGCUCGGCGUCCCGCAGGCGCUGAGCAGCAAGGCUGAGCUGGACGUCCCCCUGCUGUCGCCCGUGUCCUCUCUGCUCUUCGGCCUGCUGCUCCUGGCUCUCGCGGCGCUCCACGUCGUCGUGUGCACCGCCGCCGACAGCUCGUGCUACCUGUGCGGGCUGCCGUGGCUGGCUGCGGGCGGAGUGAUGGCGCUGACCGCCGCGCUGCUCUGUGCCGGCAUGUCUGCUCUCACCAGGAUUUUUGCCGGUGGGCAGUGUCUGACUCAGACUCCACCUCAGUCCACCUCAAGGUGGUCAGAGUUAGAUCUUCUCAGCUUCCUGGGAACCGUGGGCCAUGUGUUGAGUCUGGGUGCAAGCAGCUUCAUUGAAGAGGAGCACCAGACCUGGUACUUCCUCGUCAACACACUGUGUUUAGCUCUGUGCCACCAAAUCUACAGACACUGCUUUCUGGGAGACGACUGUGCCCCGCAGCGUUGCCCACACACGGGAGAGGAGUUUGACGGGGUCGAAGUGGCCCUGCAGGGCAAGCGGGCUGGCCCUGAGGGGUGGGAGCUCAGCCAUGCGCCCAAGGAGCCCUCCUCCCUGGAAGCCUUCAGAGGCCCUGAGCGGUGGAUGGUGCUGGCGAGCCCCUGGCUGGUUCUGGCCUGCUGCCGGCUUCUGCGAUCCCUGAACCAGACCGGUGUGCAGUGGGCCCACCGGCCCGACCUGGGGCACUGGCUCACCAGCUCUGAUCAUAAGGCUGAACUCUCUGUUCUGGCCGCAGUUUCUCUCACCAUGAUUUUUGUGUUGGUUCAGAAGAGGUGCUCCCUCACAUCAAAAGUGGCCAUGGCGUUUGGCCUGCUGGGCAUCUAUUGCUACCGGGCAGCCAUUGGAAAUGUGCUGUUCCCAUGGCAACAAGACAACAAAGACAUUUCAAAGGGCAUUACUGAGGCGCGUUUUGUUUAUGUCUUUGUCCUUGGCAUUCUGUUCACGGGCACCAAAGACUUGCUUAAAUCUCAAAUCAUCGCUGCAGACUUCACGGCCAGGACUGUGGGCCUCUGGGAGAUACACAGCGGCCUAGUCCUCCUGGCAGCACUGCUGCUCAGACCCCACAACCUGCCCGUCUUGGUGCUGAGCCUCGUGGUCCAGACGGUCAUGACUCAGUUCAUCUGGAGGCCCCUGAGGCACGGCGCAGCCGCGGUCACUGUGAUGCAUUACUGGUUUGGUCAAGCAUUCUUCUAUUUUCAGUGUUGAAGAGCCCAUCGAGGCAGACCCAGCCACCUCCAGGGUAGACCUCAGGGUGCAGCUGUGUACUCAGGACAGCACUGGACAGGUGCACAGAGCAUCCAGCUCCUGGCCCUGGAGGGACCGAGUUCCACCUCAGCCUUCAGCCCUGCCCUUGACCUGUUCCCCGUACCCGGAGUGCAGCUCACCAGAGUCUCCCGCUUGCCCCUGGUGGCACAGCAGACCUGCCGCCUGAUCAGGACGGUGCCCAUAGACUCCCUGCAAACUGAGCAGCUCUGCCCAACGCUGAGGCCUCAGUGUCAGGAAGACUGACUGCAGGCCACGCCCCCAAGCAAGGAGACAGUCUCACGUUCAGUUUGCUUCUCUGCCACGUGGCCUCAUCCCACAGCAGGACACGGAGCUUCCGUGGCAGUCUGAAGUUGGCACAUCUCAGGCACUGCCCAUAGGCAGCCAGCGCACAUGCGUCUGACGGCCACGGGGCACCUGCAGCAGGCAUCGUCCGACACACUCCAGGCCCCAAAGGGCAAGACCAGCACUGGCCAGCCCUCCCACGGUGGGCCCUACGACACGUCAGGCAAGUGGGCAGCGGUGUGGCCUUAGGAGCACAGUGGGCCCCCGGGGCCUCUCUCGUCUCCCCUCCCACAGCCCUUCCCUUGGGACGUCCUUUUCUCACUCUUGGGUUUCCUGGCAGGAGACUCACUGACCCUUUCCCCAGCCCUCAGCUCACCGACUCCUCAUGGUACAGGGUCAGGAGCAUGGGGCCCAGUUGGCAUCCACAGCCCCCCAUGGGCCCCUCAGUCUCUCUUUGCCUCUUGACCACCCCUUCACACCCAACCCACACACACAGCGUCGCACCGUUGAGGACCUGCUGGCCGAACACAGGGAAGCCCCAGAGCGUGCGGGCCACACCUUAGGCCAGCCCUCCCUGACUGCGGAGUCGGCUUUGGCAGCACCUCCAGCGACCGCCUGGGGUCAGAGCCACUCUUCUGUCGUCAGCCUGCCUCCCCUCGCUGUGGCGUUUGAGGGAAACUCCAACAGCAUCGCCACUGUGGACAUCUCAGCAGGCUUCGUGGGCCUGGAUGCCUACAUGGAGAUCCCAGCCAUGUUCCUGACAGCAUUUGCGACAUACUCGGGGCCUGUGCUGUGGGCC